AGAGUUUGAUCCUGGCUCAUAAUGAACGUUGGCGGCGUGGAUUAGGCAUGCAAGUCGUGCGAGAAGUCUUUUGCUUGCAUUAGACGGAAAGCGGCGAAAGGGAGAGUAAUACGUGGAUAACCUACCCCUGGGUUCGGGAUAGCUGUGGGAAACUGCAGGUAAUACCGAAUAAUAUCUCCGGAUCAAAGGUGAGAUUCCGCCUAGGGACGGAUCCACGUCCUAUUAGCUUGUUGGUGGGGUAACGGCCUACCAAGGCGACGAUGGGUACCGGGCGUGAGAGCGUGACCCGGCUCACUGGGACUGAGACACUGCCCAGACACCUACGGGUGGCUGCAGUCGAGAAUCUUCGGCAAUGGACGAAAGUCUGACCGAGCGACGCCGCGUGCGGGAUGAAGGCCUUCGGGUUGUAAACCGCUGUCAGUUGGGAGGAAAUCACAUGGGGUUCUCUCCAUGUGUUGACCUAUCUUCAGAGGAAGGACGGGCUAAGUUCGUGCCAGCAGCCGCGGU
rnacentral:rRNA from 1 species